GGGCUGGGACUGCACACGGCCUAAUGGGCACGUGCCCAUCCAGCCUUCAGGGAGUAAACUGAAAAGUCACAAGCGUUAAAUUGGGUAUACAUAAGGAACAACAUGAGCAGGAUUUCGGAUGAAAAGGGGAAUUCUGCCUUGGUUCCUUUCUCCUGAGAUCUCUCCAGGCAGUUUGUGGGAGUCUCCGGUGGAGCCGCCAUCCUGUUCCCACCCACUUCCCGGAGCACCCCGGAGCCCCACUGCUCCCCACUCUUGGACUUCUGGACGGACGGCCUGCAGGUGGGACAGAGCAGAGGCCAAGAGGGACUCCUGAGGCUCUGCUCUGAGCCCUGGGCGGGACGGGGUCAAGUCUGGGGUGCUCAUCAGGAGCCCAGGUGAGAUGUCUGGCGCUGGGGAUCGCUGCUCGUGGGCAGAAGGCCCCCCAGGAACAAGUGUGGACAGGUCGGGCGGGGGGCUGUCCGCAGAUCCAGUAUCACAGGUGGCAGGAGCAUGGCACGGCAGGGCUGCUGUGGCCGAGGUGAGGUCCAAGAGCUGGCCCUGGGCUCCCACCACAACCCCGUGGGAGCUGGUUUGCGGGAAAACAGGGUGGGAAGAGCAGGUCCUGGGACUAGGAGACGGGGUGGCAGCAAGACGAGCAGGGGGACAAAAAGCUGGCUGGCUUGUUGUGCUUUUGUUUUUCUAGGUGGGAGGAAGGACAGCGUAUCCCUGCUCCUGGGAUGACCCAGCAGAUCGAGGAGCAGGCUGGGUGGUGACCACAGGAGCCAUGCCCUCAAAAGGCCCUGAUGUGCCUCCAGGACUCCCAGGCCCAGGCCUCGUCCCUUCCCGGUGAGCGUGAGGGUAGCCGGGCUGGCUGGGCAAAUGCUGGGGAGGGUCCCGGGGAGCCUGCAAACCUGGACCCUGCCAUCUGGGGAACCUGCCCGCCCAGGCCCACCCCUGAGACCCUGCCCGUGCCCCACCCCAUCCUUCUCAUGAGUUGGAAGCAGUCCCACCUGUGGGCCGCAGCUUUCAUCUGUCCUGGGGGCCACAGUGGCCGAAGGGUCCUACCUGUGACGUGAGCAGGGCCUUGUCGGGGCCAGGAGUGGUGAGGGGGACCCCUGGGCACCCCGACACAGUGUCCACACACACCCAUGUCUCCACCUAAGUUGGCCCCACCUGCCCCCCUGCCACACCCCUGCCCCCCUCACACACGGGCCAGCCGCCUAGGCCUUAUUCCGGCCUUUCUGCUUGAAAUCGGGAGAAUGCCCUUCCCACGUUCCACACAAGGCCCAACCCUUUCGCUCCUUUGGGUCUUUCCCUGAGUGGGGGUUGGGGGUGGGGGCUGUCUCUUUACCAUUCCCAGUUCUCCGGAACAGAACACUGAGGAUGGAUUUCGGGCCUGGGAGGCCCAGGACAGUCCAGGGGUAGGAAAAGGUGGAGGGUCGAGGCUGGCAGGGCUUCCUUAGUUCAGCCCCUCCCACACAGGUGGAGGCAGGCCCAGGCCAAGACACUGGAUACUGUGCCCCCCAGUGCAAGGCUGCGUCGUCCUGCCCAGGCAUUGCAUUUACUGGUGGGGAAACCAAGGCCCAAGGUGUGCCUGCGAGACAUCUGGCCCCAGCGCUACUGUCUUCACAGGGGCCUCGGCCCGAGGGUCGGAUCGCGUUGGAGUGUCCCCUCCUUUACACAAUAAGUGAUCACGAGAUGAAAUAAAAUAACAGUAGCUAGAAAAGAAACAGUGAAAAUGCCCUUUUGUUGAACUUUGUCUACAUAGUCAGGCCAUUAAAAAAAAUAUUAUCAAAAUGAGCAUUAUGGUACCAAAAAGGAUUAACAUUUCUUCAUUUCAUUAAUAUGUUUUUUUAAAGAAGAAAAAACUUACCUCACAGGUCACACUGUGUCGCGGUUUUAAACACAAAUAAAACCUCUCGGUCACGCACGCAAUGACAAUUGAA